rnacentral:hammerhead_ribozyme from 1 species
AUUCAUCUGACGUAUCCCAAAUAGGACGAAACGCGUGUCCUGGAU